GAUGAACGCUGGCGGCGUGCCUAAUACAUGCAAGUCGAGCGAACAGACGAGGAGCUUGCUCCUCUGACGUUAGCGGCGGACGGGUGAGUAACACGUGGAUAACCUACCUAUAAGACUGGGAUAACUUCGGGAAACCGGAGCUAAUACCGGAUAAUAUAUUGAACCGCAUGGUUCAAUAGUGAAAGACGGUUUUGCUGUCACUUAUAGAUGGAUCCGCGCCGCAUUAGCUAGUUGGUAAGGUAACGGCUUACCAAGGCAACGAUGCGUAGCCGACCUGAGAGGGUGAUCGGCCACACGGGAACUGAGACACGGUCCAGACGCCUACGGGAGGCAGCAGUAGGGAAUCUUCCGCAAUGGGCGAAAGCCUGACGGAGCAACGCCGCGUGAGUGAUGAAGGUCUUCGGAUCGGAAAACUCUGUUAUUAGGGAAGAACAAAUGUGUAAGUAACUAUGCACGUCUCGACGGUACCUAAUCAGAAAGCCACGGCUAACUACGUG
rnacentral:rRNA from 1 species